rnacentral:rRNA from 1 species
AGAACGAACGCUGGCGGCAGGCCUAAAACAUGCAAGUCGAACGCUCUAGCAAUAGAGAGUGGCGCACGGGUGCGUAACAUGUGGGAAUAUGCCUUUUGGUACGGAACAACUUUUGGAAACGAAAGCUAAUACCGUAUGGUCCCUUCGGGGUAAAGAUUUAUCGCCAAAAGAGUAGCCCGCACUGGAUUAGCUAGUUGGUGAGGUAAUGGCUCACCAAGGCGACGAUCCAUAGCUGGUCUGAGAGGACGAUCAGCCACACUGGGACUGAGACACGGCCCAGACUCCUACGGGAGGCAGCAGUUAGGAAUCUUGGACAAUGGGCGCAAGCCUGAUCCAGCCAUGCCGCGUGAGUGAUGAAGGCCUUGGGUUGUAAAGCUCUUUAGUCCACGAAUAUAAUGACUGUAGUGGAAGAAUAAGCCCCGGCUAACUUCGCGCCAGCAGCCGC